rnacentral:rRNA from 1 species
AACGAACGCUGGCGGCAGGCUUAACACAUGCAAGUCGAACGAUGUAGCAAUACAUAGUGGCGCACGGGUGAGUAACGCGUGGGAAUAUACCAAUCAGUGGGGAAUAACUUUGGGAAACUAAAGCUAAUACCGCAUACGCCCGAGAGGGGAAAGAUUUAUCGCUGAUUGAUUAGCCCGCGUGAGAUUAGGUAGUUGGUGGGGUAAUGGCCUACCAAGCCUACGAUCUCUAGCUGGUCUGAGAGGAUGAUCAGCCACACUGGAACUGAGACACGGUCCAGACUCCUACGGGAGGCAGCAGUGGGGAAUAUUGGGCAAUGGAGGGAAACUCUGACCCAGCCAUGCCGCGUGAAUGAUGAAGGCCUUAGGGUUGUAAAGUUCUUUCGCCGAUGAAGAUAAUGACGGUAGUCGGAGAAGAAGCCCCGGCUAACUUCGUGCCAGCAGCCGCGGUAAU